rnacentral:rRNA from 1 species
GACGAACGCUGGCGGCGUGCUUAACACAUGCAAGUCGAACGGAAAGGCCCUGCUUUUGUGGGGUGCUCGAGUGGCGAACGGGUGAGUAACACGUGAGUAACCUGCCCUUGACUUUGGGAUAACUUCAGGAAACUGGGGCUAAUACCGGAUAGGAGCUCCUGCUGCAUUGUGGGGGUUGGAAAGUUUCGGCGGUUGGGUAUGGUCUCGCGGCUUAUCAGCCUGUUGGUGGGGUAGUGGCGUACCAAGGCUUUGACGGGUAGCCGGCCUGAGAGGGUGACCGGCCACAUUGGGACUGAGAUACGGCCCAGACGCCUACGGGAGGCAGCAGUGGGGAAUAUUGCGCAAUGGGCGGAAGCCUGAUGCAGCAGCGCCGCGUGCGGGAUGACGGCCUUCGGGUUGUAAACCGCUUUCGCCUGUGACGAAGCGUGAGUGACGGUAAUGGGUAAAGAAGCACCGGCUAACUACGUG